UACGUAGGAGGCAAGCGUUGUCCGGAGUUACUGGGCGUAAAGCGCACGCAGGCGGUCCUAUUAGUCUGGGGUGACAGUUCCCGGCUUAACCGGAAAAGGACUCUGGAAACUGUAGGACUUGAGGGCUUCAGAGGGAUGUGGAAUUCCAGGUGGAGUGGUGAAAUGCGUAGAGAUCUGGAAGAACACCAAGGGCGAAGGCAGCAUCCUGGGAAGUUCCUGACGCUCGGGUGCGAAAGCCAGGGGAGCGAACGGG
rnacentral:rRNA from 1 species